rnacentral:lncRNA from 1 species
GGUUGGAAGGCAGGUGGUGAACAUUCCUUCGUUCAUGGUGAGAGUAGACUCCCAGAAGCACAUUGACUUCUCCCUCACAAGUCCGUUCGGAGGUGGUCGCCCUGGAAGAGUGAAGAGAAAGAAUCAGAAGGCUGCCGCAAAGAAGGCUGCUGGAGGAGAUGGAGAUGAAGAGGAUGAAGAUUGAGUUACUUAAACGUUAUCUAUCUAUCACUAUUUUAUCAGAAAGAAUGUUACAUCCUUAGAAGUUUUGUUGCUUUAAAUAUGUUUGAAUUAGAGAACUUGUUUGCCUUUUUUGUUAU